UCGUGUUGAUCUCGACACCAACUCUCUCUCGGAACAACCUCUGGGUAAGCUUGUCCUUGGCACUGAUCUACCUUACCGGAUGACUGUUCAUCCUCGCGAAGGUGGUCUUAUCUGCUCAUCGCCAGACAGUUGCAGGUGAGUUCUCUCAUUCGACUUCACAACUCAUUAGCUUCGUGAUUUGUAGAGUUUUGCUAUUAGAAUUUCGGGCUUUACGUUUGAGUAAUCUGUAUACAAAUAGAGAUAAAUUGUGUCUAUUGAUAGCUGUGACCUCGUCGAAUCACAACCUUAGUACGAAGAGUAAGAGUAAAAUGUAAACAAGGAACGAGACUAGAUUUUGGGCAAUUGAUAUUGCCUCUUUUUGGCUUUUCUAUUUCUUAAAUACUGAAAACAACGAAAGGGAAAUGGAGUGAUCACCACUCCUACAAUUCAGGAAUUACAGGGAAAGAGGUGAAAUGGAUCCUAACAAGUAGGAAGAGCAAUUCCACUUA